AUUGAACGCUGGCGGCAUGCCUAACACAUGCAAGUCGAACGAGAGGCGGACGGGCGAGCAGUUGAUGAGAAACUGCCUGAUGGAUCGGGAUAACUAGUGGACACGUUAGCAAACACCGCAUAACACCGGAUGGGCCGUCAUGGGUUUAGCGAGUAGGUGGGGAAAAGGCUCACAGAGGAGACGAUCCCUAGCUGGGCUGAGAGGAUGACCCGCCACACUGGAACUGAGACACGGUCCAGACGCCUACGGGAGGCAGCAGUGGGGAAUAUUGCACAAUGGGCGAAAGCCUGAUGCAGCCAUGCCGCGUGUGUGAAGAAGGCCUUCGGGUUGUAAAGUACUUUCAGCGGGGAGGCGUUACCCGCAGAAGAAGCACCGGCUAACUCCGUGCCAGCAGCCGCGGUAAUAC
rnacentral:rRNA from 1 species